GAUGAAGAACGCAGCGAAAUGCGAUACGUAAUGUGAAUUGCAGAAUUCAGUGAAUCAUCGAAUCUUUGAACGCAUAUUGCGCUCUCUGGUAUUCCGGAGAGCAUGCUUGUUUGAGUAUCAGUAAACACCUCAACUUCCAUAUCUUUUUUGAAAUGGGAGUUGGACUUGAGUGAUCCCAACGCUUUUCCACACCGAAAAGUGGCGGGUUACUUGAAAUGCAGGUGCAGCUGGACUUUUCUCUGAGCUAUAAGCAUAUCUAUUUAGUCUGCCUAAAAAACAGAUUAUUACCUUUGCUGCAGCUAACAUAAAGGAGAUUAGUUCUUGUGCUGACUGAUGCAGGAUUCACAAAGACAGGCUUCGGCCGACUUUGUAAACUCGAUCUCAAAUCAAGUAAGACUACCCGCUGAACUUAAGCAUAUCAAUAAGCGGAGGA
rnacentral:misc_RNA from 1 species